UACGGAGGGUGCGAGCGUUGUCCGGAAUCAUUGGGCGUAAAGGGCGCGUAGGUGGCCCGGUCAGUCUUUGGUGAAAGCGCGGGGCUCAACCCUGCGUCGGCCAGGGAUACUGCCGCGGCUCGAGCGUGGGAGAGGAAAGCGGAAUUCCUGGUGUAGCGGUGAAAUGCGUAGAUAUCAGGAGGAACACCUGCGGUGUAGACGGCUUUCUGGACCAUUGCUGACGCUGAGACACGAAAGCGUGGGUAGCAAACAGG
rnacentral:rRNA from 1 species